rnacentral:rRNA from 1 species
UACAGAGGGUGCGAGCGUUGUCCGGAAUCACUGGGCGUAAAGGGCGCGUAGGCGGCUUGAUAAGCGUGCGGUGAAAGCCCGGGGCUCAACCCCGGGUCGGCCGUGCGAACUGUCGAGCUGGAGCACUGUAGAGGCAGGUGGAAUUCCGGGUGUAGCGGUGGAAUGCGUAGAGAUCCGGAAGAACACCGGUGGCGAAGGCGGCCUGCUGGGCAGUGACUGACGCUGAGGCGCGACAGCGUGGGGAGCAAACAGG